CGCGUAGGAAUCUACCUUUCGGUGGGGGAUAGCCCGGAGAAAUCCGGAUUAAUACCGCAUACGACCUAAGGGUGAAACGGGGCCACUAUUUAUAAGCUUCGACCGAAAGAUGAGCCUGCGUUAGAUUAGCUAGUUGGUAAGGUAAUGGCUUACCAAGGCGACGAUCUAUAGCUGUUCUGAGAGGAUGAUCAGCCACACUGGGACUGAGACACGGCCCAGACUCCUACGGGAGGCAGCAGUGGGGAAUAUUGGACAAUGGGCGAAAGCCUGAUCCAGCAAUACCGCGUGUGUGAAGAAGGG
rnacentral:rRNA from 1 species